rnacentral:lncRNA from 1 species
GCUGAGAGUCAUGUGAUGGCGCUGCCCCAGAGUCUGUAAUGAAGCCGGUGGCUUGCGGUAAAACCCGGAUUUGAAGAAGCCGCGAGCUUCCAGAGGGCAGGGCGCGUUCGGUCCCUUGCCUAGGAAAGGACCCGACGAAUGUGUCACGCGACUUCCCCUCGGACGCAGAGACGCUCCAAACGCUAUUCAGGGUUGGGUCGCUGAGCCCGGCAGAGCCCCUGCCUAGGCUGCCUUCGGCCCUGUCGUACCUGGGGGGAGGGUAGGCCCGUGUCCGCUCGGUGUGGCCGCCUUGUUACCUCUGCGACAGCGGUGAGGGCUCACAGGUGACUGCGGGGCCCCAGCCGAGGAGAGACGGUGGGGACGCACAGCCUGGAAGUGGGGAAUCGGGUGGACCAGCACCUUCUGAAGCCAGGUGGAGCCCACUUCCGUGCACAGCGAGUCACUGUUUCCUACGCAAGCUUUGGUGGCCCUGGACGACCACCCCUGUGCGUCCCAGGCUCCCAUGCCCCGUCGGCAGAAAUGCCAGGCCCCUUAAGCUUCUUGCACCAGAGCCAGCAAAAGAAGUGCAGGAGAGAGGAAUCAGGAAGCCAUAAGCGUGGGAGGAAGAGAAAUGGGCCCGGGCCUAAAAAGAAAUGGCUGUCCACAUUAGAUAAAAGAGGCAGAAAUCCCUGCCUUCACAGAACCUGCCUUUAGUGUCUGGAGAUGAGAAGCAAGAUGAAUAAAACCCACUCUUGGGCCAAGGAGGUAGAUCAGUGGUAGGGCACUUGCCUGAUAUUCGCAGGGCCCUGGGUUCAAUCUCUAGUGCCAAGGAAAUCAAAACAAAAACCCUGUAAUAUCUUGGAACGUAGUGGUACAGAGAAAAACUAAACCUAGGGACCUGUAGGAAGGGUGUGAGGAUGGGUGUCCUUUAUGUAGGGCCUUCUUAUGGGGCUGGGGAUGGAGGUCAGUCGUACAGUGUCUGCCUAGCAAGUACGAGACCCUAGGCUCGAUCCCAGUACUGCCAAAAAAAGAACAGAGGUGAGGGACAGUACUGCCAGCAGAGGGCGUGGCAGGUGCCCAGGGCCCUGGGCUGGGAAAGACCUGCAGGGCAGUGAGCGUGGGCGAUGCUAGCGGGUUGCCACCAAAGGAGGCCAUGGCAGGGUCCGCAAAGGGGCGUGGUCAGCCCUACUUGGUAACCGGCACCGUGUGCUGUUGGCCAGAGCACUGAGGACAGUGAGUGGACCACUUCGAUCAUGCACUUAGGAGGUGAGGGUAACCUGAACCCCAGUGGUGGCCGUGCAGAGAGAAGCAGUCAGAUCGCAGAGGCAUCCUGAAGGGAGGAUUACAGAGCUGUCUGGUUGGCUGGAAGCCUGUCUUCCCCUUCGUAGGGUCACCUCCACCUCAUUUCCGCUUCAAGCAUCCAGUCCACAGAGGGACAAGAGCUCAAUCUCAGCCCAUCUGGGAUCCCCUGCAGUGGCUGCUGCCAUGUCAUGGGGGGUGGGGAAUCUGGUCCCCUGUACUCCUGUCACCUAUGCUGGCACCCGCAGAGUCUGACCUCAGCACACACAGCAUGUCCUGCUGAAAUGGCACUGGAGGGCAGGCAGACCAAGGAAGAGAGCGGCACUCAGAGAACUGAAGGGUAAGCAGGUUUAUUAUUGCGAACAGGCCCAGCGAAGUCCCCUUCCAGGGCCUGAACCCCUUUUCUACAUUUGUCCUCAUAUUUAUCUGUUCUUCAGCCAGGGGAGGGGAGCAAGCAGGAAUUUACAGGAGCAGAACUUAGCACAAGGCAGGGAGGUGGAGGUGACAUUACUUUUUUAACUUUUCUUACAGUUUAUCUUAAAGACAUAGGGAGAUAGGGAGGUACAGGCUGGUGUUGUCUCAGCAAUUCAUCUGGGCACCGUGACCUUUGUGGGUCUAGCAAGAGGGCCGAGCCUUGAGACCCAUCAGCCUCGAGACUCAGCCUCUCUCCAGCCUUGAGACCAUCGGCCUCUGGUUUGUCCUUUGUUCCUUUCCAUUUCACAGCUUCACAUCUGUCUGAGCCCGCUUUGGAGGCAAGCAACUACCCCGCUGCUCUGAAAUUGCCAGGUGGUCUCCUCGCCAACAGCCCCCGGACACCCCCCAGCCUCCCCUCCGCCACCUUUGUCUAGGUCAGGCAGCAGCUGGCAGCCAGCUCCUUGCCUUGAUGCUGCCCUCCACAGCCUGGGGGAGCCUGGCUCGACACAGCCCCUCAUCCCUCCAUGUUUUGUAAGGCUCAGCUCUUGGAGCUUAGAGGCUACCACACAGAGACCCCUGAAGGAAGUCCGUCCCCACCUGAUGACGCAGGCCUGAGAAUAAAAUACACUGGGAGACAGAACUAGGAGAGAGUGGGGCCAGGAUGCCCAAGGCCGGUGCAACCGGAACGGCCCUGGCCGGUCCCAGGCACUGACUCUUAUUGGCAAGCAAUUGGGGUAAAGCGCUGUGCUGAGCGGGCACUGUCCGCAGACCUCAAGCCCCACAGGCUCUGCCACUAAAGCACUGGCACCAGACGGCUCUUCAGAUUUGUGCCUGGCCCCAGCCCCAGAGUCACAGCCUCGGAGGCAGGGGAGCCCUGCAGUGAGGACCUCGGUGGCCCCAAGCUCAUCUGCCCUCAGCAGCCGGUUUCCAGUGCAGGCCGCACCAGCUAGACACCAGGCCAUGAUUUCACAUGGGGAACAGAGUGCAGAGAAGUCAAAUAGUACUGGAGAUCGAACUCAGGACCUUGCACAUGUGAGGUAGGCAUGCGCCACUGUAGCGCUGCGGGGUGGCCUGCCUCCCCCUGUGGGGAGAUUUGCAUCCUGGUCCCAUUUACGUCAUUCUCGGCCCCGUGAGAAAACAGGCAAGUGACACGCAUCACCUUUAAGCAGAAGCCCAAGGGCAAUCAAGGCUCUGCACGGCCCAGCUCCGGCGACCACAGCAAAGCUCCAGCCCGCCCUUCAGGAAGAUGCAGCGGCCCAAACAGUGCCCCCUCCAGUCAGGGCCGCUGAACCAGAGCUGCGGGGUCUCCGCAGGGCGACCUCGCCUGCACCCCGAGGCAGUGACCUUUGUGUUCUGCCAGGUGGGGGCUGGAGUUUGCAGCACUCGGUUCUGCCACUUAGGGUGCAAACAUGGCAUCGGAACCUCCGCCUGGCCGCGACACGUGGCGUGCGAAGAGGACACAGGGCAGAACGCAGCGGCGAAGGAGGCCGGAUCCACCCAAAAGUGCGGGACUCAGGUAGAGCUGGCACCCCUGAGGGCGUGGUCUUGAGGCCACAGUGAAAUCCUGCUGUCCACACCUGUGGUUCCGCAGCCACCACCAGAGACCCCUGGGCUGAGGCUGAGUUUGCAGCCCCUCUCAUUCCGCGAGACCGCAGUAGAGAAGGAAGUGCAGGGCACACCUCCAGGCACCGCCAUUGGCACUAGAGCGCUCACAGAGGUACUGGCAAGUUCUCUUCUCUGUCCCCCUCAGACACAGCUUUGGCCCUUCUUUUUAUGAAGAACACAAUGAGUAACACACACACACAUGCACACACGAGCACGUGUGUGUGUAGUAGGGGGACUGAACCCAGGGCCUGUGCACUAAGCUGCCUCAGACUCCUAGCGUGUGGGGUUAGAGGUGUGUGGCACCACACCUGGCACAUCUGUCACUCUAAUCUGUCUGAAGUGGUCGACCCGACGGCCCCAGGAAGUCUUGGGCGGCUCCAUCUCCUGGCAGAGGGAGCCCUGUCUUCCGCCUUUACACAGCGAGGACUCGGCAUGGUGGGAGGGCCUGGUGGAGGAGAGCUGCUCACAUCUUGGUGACCAGGAAGCAGAGAAGGGAGCACUGGGACAGCGUCACCACUCUCCUAGGGCUGCCACAGCAGAGGACCGUGAACUCUGUGGCUGAGACUCGGGGAGCAGCCUCUCCCCAGCCUCCUCCUAGCUGCCAGGAAUCCGGGGGCGAGACAGAACCUUCUGGACCCAAGAGAGAGCCUGCCCUGUGCCUCUCCUUAUGGGCACCUGAUGGCUCCUGGCCACAUGUGGCCUCCUUGGCUGGUGGACGCAUUUCCCCUGUCUCUGUCUGUUGUCACAAGGCCUUCUUCCCGUGGACAUUUAUGUGUCUGGGUCCAGAUUUCCCUCUUCUUUUUGGUGUUUUGAGGCAGGUCUCACCAUGUAGGCCAGGCUGGCCUUGAACUCACAGAGAUCCUAUUGGAUUUAGGGCUCAUCCUAAUUCAGAGUGGUCUCAACUCGGUUUCAUCCACAAAGACUUAAUUUCCCAAUAAGGCCACAUUCACAGACCUGGCAGGCCUUCAGCAUGUUUUGAGGGAAGAAAAUUCGUUUCAUGGUGUCUUCCCAAAAGAGUUAGAGACAUCAUGUUACAGUGACCCAAGGACACGGUGUUUAUAGCAGCACGACUCAUCAUAGCUAAAUCUUGGAAGCAGUCUAUAAGCUCAUCAACGGAUGAAGAAAAUGUGGUAUUUACAGACAAUGGAGUACUACUCUGCCAUAAAGAAGGAUAGACGAGUCAUUUGUAGGACAAUGGGUGCAUCUUGAGACUGGAAUGUUGUGACACAAGUCAGACACACAUGGCUGACUAAAUAUCACAUGGCUUCUCUUAUAUAAGAAACCCAGAGUAAAAAUAAAGACCAAAUAAAAAACAUGAAAGAAAGGAAGCAGGUCUUUCUCAGAGGGAAAGGGCUUCAAGAGGUG